rnacentral:rRNA from 1 species
CAAAAACAUCGCCUCUUGCAAAAUAAACGAAUAAGAGGUCCCGCCUGCCCAGUGACUAAUAUAGUUAAAUGGCCGCGGUAUUUUAACCGUGCGAAGGUAGCGCAAUCACUUGUCUCUUAAAUGGAGACUGGUAUGAACGGCAUCACGAGGGCUUAGCUGUCUCCCCUCUAAAGUCAAUGAAAUUGAUCUCCCCGUGCAGAAGCGGGGAUAUACUCGUAAGACGAGAAGACCCUAUGGAGCUUAAGAUAUAAAGUUCAACCCACGUCAAACACCUCCUAAAAGAAUAAACAAAAUGGACCUUGCUGAUAUAUCUUCGGUUGGGGCGACCACGGGGAAAGACAAAACCCCCACAUGGACCGGGGCACCCACACCCUAGAACAUAGACCCACAGGUCAAAUCAACAGCACUUCUGACCACCAGACCCGGCAUCAGCCGGCCAAUGAACCAAGUUACCCUAGGGAUAACAGCGCAAUCCCCUCCCAGAGUCCUUAUCGACGAGGGGGUUUACGACCUCGAUGUUGGAUCAGGACAUCCUAAUGGUGCAGCCGCUAUUAAGGGUUCGUUUGUUCAACGAUUAACAGUCCUACGCGAUCUGAGUUCAGACCGGAGAAAUC